GACGAACGCUGGCGGCGUGCCUAAUACAUGCAAGUUGAGCGCUGAAGGUUGGUACUUGUACCAACUGGAUGAGCAGCGCACGGGUGAGUAACGCGUGGGGAAUCUGCCUUUGAGCGGGGGACAACAUUUGGAAACGAAUGCUAAUACCGCAUAAAAACUUUAAACACAAGUUUUAAGUUUGAAAGAUGCAAUUGCAUCACUCAAAGAUGAUCCCGCGUUGUAUUAGCUAGUUGGUGAGGUAAAGGCUCACCAAGGCGAUGAUACAUAGCCGACCUGAGAGGGUGAUCGGCCACAUUGGGACUGAGACACGGCCCAAACGCCUACGGGAGGCAGCAGUAGGGAAUCUUCGGCAAUGGACGAAAGUCUGACCGAGAAACGCCGAGUGAGUGAAGAAGGUUUUCGGAUCGUAAAACUCGGUUGGUAGAGAAGAACGUUGGUGAGAGUGGAAAGCUCAUCAAGUGACGGUAACUACCCAGAAAGGGACGGCUAACUACGUG
rnacentral:rRNA from 1 species